rnacentral:rRNA from 1 species
UUUCCGCUUGAUCCUGCCGGACCCGACUGCUAUCAGAGUGGGAUAAGCCAUGCGAGUUAACGUAGCAAUACGUGGCAUACGGCUCAGUAACACGUAGUCAACAUGCCCAGGGGACGUGGAUAACCUCGGGAAACUGAGGAUAAACCGCGAUAGGUCAUGAUUUCUGGAAUGAUUCAUGGCCGAAAUCUACAUGGCCCCUGGAUUGGACUGCGGCCGAUCAGGCUGUUGGUGAGGUAAUGGCCCACCAAACCUGUUACCGGUACGGGCUCUGAGAGGAGGAGCCCGGAGAUGGGCACUGAGACAAGGGCCCAGGCCCUAUGGGGCGCAGCAGGCGCGAAACCUCUGCAAUAGGCGAAAGCCUGACAGGGUUACUCUGAGUGGUUUCCGCUAAGGGAACCUUUUGGCACCUCUACAAAUGGUGCAGAAUAAGGGGUGGGCAAGUCUGGUGUCAGCCGCCGCGGUAAUACCAGCACCCCGAGUGGUCGGGACGAUUAUUGGGCCUAAAGCAUCCGUAGCCGGUCCUGCAAGUCUUCCGUUAAAUCCAGCUGCUCAACAGAUGGGCUGCGGGGGAUACUACAUGGCUAGGAGGCGGGAGAGGCAAGCGGUACUUUAUGGGUAGGGGUAAAAUCCGUUGAUCCAUAGAAGACCACCAGUGGCGAAGGCGGCUUGCCAGAACGCGCUCGACGGUGAGGGAUGAAAGCUGGGGGAGCAAACCGGAUUAGAUACCUGGGUAGUCCCAGCUGUAAACGAUGCAGACUCGGUGAUGGGCUGGCUUCGUGCCAACCCAGUGCCAGGGAAGCCGUUAAGUCUGCCGCCUGGGGAGUACGGUCGCAAGACUGAAACUUAAAGGGAUUGGCGGGGGAGCACCACAAGGGGUGAAGCCUGCGGUUCAAUUGGACUCAACGCCGGG